AUGGCGGACCAUUUCGCGGUGAUGGCGGGCCGGCUGCUCACGGCGUCCACGGUGCAGUCCCGCCAUCGACGAGGCCUCCAAUGCGGCUUCGUCUUCGGCGCCGGCGUGUGGUGGGGAGGCCGUCGUCGUCGAAGGUGGCGGCGGCAGGCCGAAGAGUGGCGUGCUGGUGGAAUGCAGGAUCUGCCAGGAGGACGGCGACGAGACCUGCAUGGAGGCCCCUUGCUCCUGCAAGGGCAGCUUGAAGGUAAAAACACCUUGGCAUAUAUACAUUGCUCUUGUCUCAAAGCAGUAGCUGAACUGAAUCAGUGUCUCUUGCAGUAUGCUCAUCGGACAUGCGUCCAGAGGUGGUGCGACGAGAAGGGGGACACCAUAUGUGAGAUAUGCUUGCAGCAAUUCACACCAAACUACAAGGCUCCUUCCAAGCUGUUUCAGCAGGGAAGAAACUCCAUCUUCUUCAGAACCCCUGCGUACAUCCAGGCACAGGCCCGGAGCUCUUCCACCUCGACAAGCUACGAGUAUGAUCGCCAAGCUUCCACCCCGAAAGCUGUAAUCUGUUGUCGCAUAAUUGCUAUAACUCUCAUGCUUCUCCUGGUGCUCCAUGACGCCAUCUCGGUCUACCUCGGCGAUCAAGGCGUCUACACCGUCGCGCUGGUCACCCUGCUGAUGCUUAGAACUGCUGGAAUUGUGAUACCGGUCUACAUCAUCUUGGUCGCGGUGACUGAAGUGCUUUAUCGACGCAGCGAGUGGCAGGCUAUGCAUGGUCAGGUUUCAGAACCAGCAGCCGCAGGGAGCACGCAGCCGGUGCCAAUUCCGCCGCAGCAACAGCGUGUGGUUAUCACCAUCCAGUAG
rnacentral:rRNA from 1 species